UACAGAGGGGGCAAGCGUUAUUCGGAAUUAUUGGGCGUAAAGGGCGCGUAGGCGGCCUGGCAAGUGGAAGGUGAAAUCCCUCGGCUUAACCGAGGAACUGCCUUCCAAACUGCUUGGCUUGAGUCCGGGAGAGGUGAGUGGAAUUCCCAGUGUAGCGGUGAAAUGCGUAGAUAUUGGGAGGAACACCAGUGGCGAAGGCGGCUCACUGGACCGGAACUGACGUUGAUGCGCGAAAGCGUGGGGAGCAAACGGG
rnacentral:rRNA from 1 species